rnacentral:rRNA from 1 species
GUCAGUGGCCAUCCCACCCUGAAUGUGCCUGAUCCCAUCUGAUCUAGGAAGCUAAGUAGGGUUAGGCUCGGUUAGUACUUGGAUGGGAAAUGUGGAGUUCAAAGUUAAGCUUAUU